GUGUCAGCAGCCGCGGUAAGACAGAGGCCACGAGCGUUAGGCGGAAUCACUGGGCUUAAAGCGUGUGUAGGCGGACCGUUAAGUGCCCGUGUGAAAUCCCCCGGCUCAACCGGGGAACGGCCGGGCAUACUGGCGGUCUUGGGCCAGCUAGGGGUCAUCGGAACAAACGGUGGAGCGGUGAAAUGCGUAGAUAUCGUUUGGAACGCCGACGGUGAAAACAGAUGACUGGGGCUGUGCCGACGCUGAGACACGAAAGCCAGGGGAGCAAACGGGAUUAGAAACCCCCGUAGUCC
rnacentral:rRNA from 1 species